rnacentral:rRNA from 1 species
GAUGAACGCUGGCGGCGUGCCUAAUACAUGCAAGUCGAGCGAACAGACGAGGCGCUCGCUCCUCUGACGUUAGCGGCGGUCGGGUGAGUAACACGUGGAUAACCUACCUAUAAGACUGGGAUAACUUCGGGAAACCGUAACUAAUACCGGAUAAUAUAUUGAACCUCUUGGUUCAAUAGUGUAAGACGGUUUUGCUGUAACUUAUAGAUUGAUCCCCGCCGGAUUAGAUAGUUGGUAAGGUAACGGCUUACCAAGGCGACGAUGUGUAGCCGAACUGAGAGGCAGGUCGGCCACAAAGGGACAGAGGAACAGACCAUACCGCUGAGGGAGGAACCAGAAGGGACUCUUACGCAAGGGGCGAAGGCGUUACAGUGCAACAAGGCGGAAGUAAUGAAGGAGAUAGGAUGGUUGAACUAUGUUAAUAGGGAAGAACAAAUGUGUAGGUAACUCUGCUCGUCAUGACGGUACCUGCGCAGAAAGCCACGGCUAACUCCGUG